AUAAUUUAUAUUUUAAUAUUUCACGCGAACUAAAAGAAGUCAAUCACUUCAAUGAAUUGCGUUUAUUGUGAUAUUAUUGUUUCCUCUAAUACAAUGAGAUCUUACAAAUUAUAGUAUUCGGAUAAAAUACAAAGGUUAUUGUAAAGAUGAUUUCGGAAAAGCAAACUAAACAAAGAAACCCCAUAAUUUACCUUGAUAUAUUAAUUGAUGGUGAAAAAGCUGGGAGAAUUAUAGCAGAGCUAAGAUAUGAUGUGGUUCCUAAAACAGCCGAAAACUUUCGAGCAUUGUGUACAGGGGAGAAGGGCAUCGGAGUUGAAGGAAAACCAUUACAUUAUAAAGGUGUCAGAUUUCACAAAGCAAUAUCCCAAUUUAUGAUACAAGGUGGUGAUAUUAUUAAUGGUGAUGGAACAGGGAAUGAAAGUAUUUAUGGUCCUACUUUUGAAGAUGAAAACUUUGAAUUAAAGCAUGAAGCAGGAGUACUGAGUAUGGCAAAUGCUGGGAAACCUCACACAAAUGGCUCCCAAUUUUGUGUGACCACUGUACCGUGUCCACAUUUGGAUGGAACAAAUGUUGUGUUUGGCCAAGUCUUAGCUGGUGUGGGUUUAGUUAUUGAAAUACAAGAGGCGGCUAAAGAUGGACGACCUACUGUGGAAUGCGUAAUAGAAGACUGCGGUGAAAUAAAAGAAGUAGAUAAUUGGGAUGUCUGUUGCAGAGAUGGUUCUGCAGACCAUCUUCCCGAUUACCCUGAUGAUCUACGUAGCAGUUUAUCAGUAGACGAAUUAGUGACUAGUGUGAAUGACGUAAAGCAGUGCGGGAACAGUUAUUUCGUGGAGGGCCUAUACAAGCGCGCCACACGAAAGUACCUAAAAUGUCUACGAUUUCUCGAGUAUCUAAAGACAAAACUGCACAAUGCUGAGUGGGACAAAUAUCACAAAAUCAUUGAAAUAUACAAUCUGCAGUGUUAUUUAAAUCUUGCGGCAUGUUAUUCCAAACUUGGGAAUUUCAGUGCAUGUGUUAAAAGUUGUAAUGAGGUUCUGCGGAUAGAGGCGAAAAAUGAGAAGGCGCUGUACCGUCGCGGUCACGCGUUCUUCGCGCUCAAGAACUACGAAGCUGCGCUUAUUGACUUGCGGUUAGCCGACAAAGUGUCGCCAAAAAAUAAAGCAGUACUAAAACUGCUGGAUGAGGUGAAAAAAACAAACAAAAACUACAACGAGAUACAGAAACAACGCCUCUCGAGGCUUUUUCGUGAGCAAAAGGAGAAGGAACUCGGACAUCACUGAGCUGCAUCUCAACGUGAUGAUCUACCAAUUGUAAAGGCUGAGUGCACGCUUGUGAUAGACCCUAGCCACCGACCAAAUUGUUAUCUAAUGUUUAAUGUAGGCGCCAGCACUAGCUAGACCUCGUCUAGUUAAUAUACAGCCAUACAUUUGUAUGACUCAUAAAUCAUAAUACAUUAGAUACGAAUAAAUCCCGCCCAUAAACUGUAUCAGCGAAAGGCCUGGAAGCUAAAGGCUCGUGCUCUAAUUGCUAAGUUCUAGAGAUGUUACGGUGAACGUCUCCUAGUUUGAUCUCAAUAUAUUUACGCAGAAUCUAGCAACCAGAACAAAAUAUGCUCUAACACUUUUAUUAUUAUAUUAUUAUAUAAUUAGCCCAUAGUGUCCCAUUGCUAGGCAGAGGCCCAGGAUCUUCCACUGUUUUCGCUCCUACGCCACCGAUAGCCAGCCUGGCUGGUAUUCCUCCAGCUCGUCACGCCACCUUUUUCUAGGCUGGCCUCGGCGGCGGCGUCCAUCUUCAGGUGCCCACUCUGUUGAGACCCUUGCCCAGCGGUCGGGAUGCAUGCGGCUAACGUGACCCGCCUACUCCCACUUCAGCUUGGUUGCCUUGACACUUACGUCAUUGAUGCCCGUUUGGGAGCGCAGUAUGGUGUUCAUGGGCGUACCCAGCUU